GUGGAUAUACUUCUGUGGUAGAGUGCAUGCUUAGUAUGCACAAGGUCCUGGGUUCAAUUCCCAGUACCUCCA
rnacentral:tRNA from 1 species